GACGAAUGCUGGCGGCGUGCUUAACACAUGCAAGUCGAGCGGAAAGGCCCUUCGGGGUACUCGAGCGGCGAACGGGUGAGUAACACGUGGGUAACCUGCCCCAGACUUUGGGAUAACCCUCGGAAACGGGGGCUAAUACCGGAUACGACACAGCUUCGCAUGGGGUCUGUGUGGAAAGUUUUUCGGUUUGGGAUGGGCUCGCGGCCUAUCAGCUUGUUGGUGGGGUGAUGGCCUACCAAGGCGACGACGGGUAGCCGGCCUGAGAGGGCGACCGGCCACACUGGGACUGAGACACGGCCCAGACUCCUACGGGAGGCAGCAGUGGGGAAUAUUGCACAAUGGGCGGAAGCCUGAUGCAGCGACGCCGCGUGAGGGAUGACGGCCUUCGGGUUGUAAACCUCUUUCAGCAGGGACGAAGCGUAAGUGACGGUACCUGCAGAAGAAGCGCCGGCCAACUACGUG
rnacentral:rRNA from 1 species